CGUAGUCGUAGUGGGUGUGGAGUGGGGAAAGGGAAGUUAGGAAGUGAGGAUAUUAUAUGACAUAUUAUUUGAUAACAUGUCACCUUUAGUGAGUGUUAGUGUGUGUAAUAAUAGUGAGUGUGGUUGGAGCAGUGAUACGUGGCGCUGGGGAGGGAGAGCGGGUGGCUGGCUGGCUGGCUACAUUGUUUUGGUCAACACUGGUCAGUCUUGCCCCACACGCUCUUUUAACCAGUGUUUCCGUAUUCCCGGCAGCUUUUCCCUGUACCGAGCACCGCCAAGCAGCACCAGUGAGGCACGAAUACGUAAGGAGUGACGGCUAUGCCCAGCACUAGUACAGCCUUGGCUGCCAGUGUGACGGCUGCCCACGAUGUCAUGAGGAGGAUCAAAUGGUGAUUGCAGUGGCUCCAAGCCUUGGACAGACGAGUGUGAGGCAGGAGCAGUCCAUCUGCCUGGAAUGUUUUGAGCUCAGCACACAAGCUGCACAAGUCUGCUGAAGAAUGCACCUCCCAAUCCUGCAUCUAAACUAACUUGAGAUUAUGUUGUGCUUAAGUGGCUUACAGCAUGAAAGGAGACACAGCUCAGAUCAUCUCCCCCUGAGCCAAGAUUCACAGCUGUUGAGUAUGUUAGCUUUUGUGAUGAGCAAUGUGAACAAGUAUUUCAAUGUUUUUUUUUAGCAUGCAAAAGAUGUGAUGGGAAUAAUGAGUAUAUCUGAACCCCAGCAAACACCAUUGAGUAACGUAAACUGUUAUUACUAUCGAAGGUAAUAAUGAGCCUUGUUUUUAGCAUGCAAAAGAUGUGGUGGGAAUAAUGAGUGUAUCUGAACACCAGCAAACACUAUUGAGUAACUUGAACUGUUAUUACUAUCGAUGAAGGUAAUAAUGAGCCUUGCCAUGAGUUGAGUAUUGAGAUGAAAGAAAAAAAUAUUAAGUACUCAGUAUUCUCAAUUAUCUCAUCAGUAAUUUCCGGAUUUCGUAUUUUUAAUAGUUAAGAGAUUUAUUAUGAGACAUUAUAAACCAUUUCAAUAGAGAUUUAUUAUGAGACAUUAUAAACCAUUUCAAUAGCUCUCCUUCCAGUGUAUCUAGAAACAAGUUAUUUUCUUGUAGUUAUUUCUCUGUGAGCCAAUGAUGUCUGAAUGUACAAACAGUUUCUAGGGACAUCACGCUGCUCAAUUCUUCUUGCUCCAGGCUGACUUACCUUUUGCCACUAAGUGUCUGAGUAUGGAAUAGUUUCUAGGGACAUCACACUGCUCAACUCUUCUUGCUCCAUGCUGACUUGCAUUUUUGUAGAGGCAGUUAUUCUGAUCCAACUGUUUUUGGGUCUAGGUUUUUCAUAACCAUUUUCAAGGUAGUGUUAUGCUGCUCAAUCUGUGGAAUGCAGUAUUCAAGAAAAAAAUGAGUGGAUAAUGACUAGUUUACUGGUAGAAAUACUUAGAUCCAUGAAGUGUGGGUCCAGUUUACCCUGAUUAAUUUGUUUACUGCUAGGAAUGCUUAGAUCCAUGAAGUGUGAGUCAAGUCUACCACACUUGCUCAUAGAAAUUACACUAUAGACAAGCCAUUACUAAGACAGCUGAACAAUCUGUAAGGUUACAAAAACUACAAGCCUACAGAAAUAAAAGUUCAUUAUUAUAUAAAAACAAACAAUACUGAGCUCCAACUUGUAUAUUACAAUGCAGGUACGUACAUAACACUUGACAUGCCUCCUUGGCUCUAUUCUUAUAAUGGAGUGUGUCCUGUCCUGUACAGCCACUGAAAUAAUGCUUCAGCACAAGUAAUGUUUUUUUCAUAAAUUUUUCACUAGACAUGCCAGUUUCAUGCAACUUCAAGAGGGUCAUGCCAGUUACCACUUUCAUUUGUAAAACACACACACACACACACC